rnacentral:rRNA from 1 species
UACGUAGGGCGCAAGCGUUUGUCCGGAAUUAUUGGGCGUAAAGAGCUCGUAGGCGGCUUGUCACGUCGGGUGUGAAAGCCCGGGGCUUAACCCCGGGUCUGCAUUCGAUACGGGCAGGCUAGAGUGUGGUAGGGGAGAUCGGAAUUCCUGGUGUAGCGGUGAAAUGCGCAGAUAUCGGGAGGAACACCAGCGGCGAAGGCGGCACUCUGGGCUGGAACUGACGCUGAGGAGCGAAAGCGUGGGUAGCAAACAGGG